AACCGUACAUCUUUCACGUCGGGCCGGGGCGUAACGUUGUUUGCUCGCUUGCUCGUGUGCGGCGUACGGGUGAGUAGUGUCUGGGAAACUGCCUGAUGGAGGGGGAUAACUACUGGAAACGGUAGCUAAUACCGCAUAACGUCGCAAGACCAAAGAGGGGGACCUUCGGGCCUCUUGCCAUCAGAUGUGCCCAGAUGGGAUUAGCUAGUAGGUGGGGUAACGGCUCACCUAGGCGACGAUCCCUAGCUGGUCUGAGAGGAUGACCAGCCACACUGGAACUGAGACACGGUCCAGACUCCUACGGGAGGCAGCAGUGGGGAAUAUUGCACAAUGGGCGCAAGCCUGAUGCAGCCAUGCCGCGUGUAUGAAGAAGGCCUUCGGGUUGUAAAGUACUUUCAGCGGGGAGGAAGGCGUUGAGGUUAAUAACCUCAGCGAUUGACGUUACCCGCAGAAGAAGCACCGGCUAACUCCGUGCCAGCAGCCGCGGUAAUACGGAGGGUGCAAGCGUUAAUCGGAAUUACUGGGCGUAAAGCGCACGCAGGCGGUCUGUCAAGUCGGAUGUGAAAUCCCCGGGCUCAACCUGGGAACUGCAUUCGAAACUGGCAGGCUAGAGUCUUGUAGAGGGGGGGUAGAAUUCCAGGUGUA
rnacentral:rRNA from 1 species